UGUAGCUACUUGCUAGUAGUCGCAGAGAGGUUCACACUGCACGAUUCAUCCGAAUAUCAAACAUGCUUGAAAAUCCCGGAGCCUCGGCGAACGCUCGCGGACUGAGAAACAUCCUGUCGGUGAACGGUGCGCGUGAGCAGUCCACGGGAGCGCGCACUGAGGAGUCGCCGAACCGGUGAUAGCGAUGAUGGAGAGGAGACUUAGCGGCAGGAAAAAUGAACAGUGAUGAUGUAAUGAAUUUUGUUCCUUGCUUGUCCUUGACUCAGGUGUGUGUACUGCAGCGCUCAGCUGUGUGUCUGAGAUCUGCGAGAGGCUCGUGAACGUCUUUACAUGUGGAGGAGAAAGGCAUGAUCAUGAUGCAGCACCAGAGGGCUCAGAAAAGUCAGAAGAAGAAGGUGUUGGACUUUCAGUGGUGGAGACUGAACCAGCAGGGACCCAAAGCUCAGUGUGUCCUUUCUUCUCCAGAGAUCCAUGAGACA